GCUGCUGCUGCUGGCCUUUUACGAAUUCUAUAAAUCAGUCUUUCAUUUUCUCUUUCACAUCAUUCAGCCAUUUUCUCUUUGACGCGACGGACGCGUCUGCAGAUUGCAAGCGGACGAACGGCAACGAAACGGGCAACGAGCGCACGAACAAACAAACGUUUGAGAACUUGGUUUUUUAUGUGGAUUAAUUAAAACAAUGUUCUAUGUGUUUAUGUGUAUUCUCUGCUAGCAUAAAAUAAUGAAAAUACAAAUAGAAAUGCAAAUGCAAGUACCACAAAGUGCUCAAAUAUCCCAAUUGCAAUAACAAAUGCACAAGCAGCAGAAGAAAGAAACAAACAAACGUGCGUGUGCUGUGAUUCGGUCUAUGUGUGAGACUAAGUGUUGGGUGUGAGUGUGCUUAUGUAUGUGUGUGCGUGUGAAACAUUUAAGCUUUAAGUGCUGGUAGCGUGCGCUGCCACUGCGCUUUGGAUAGUCGCCGUCGUCGCCGUUGGAGGAGCUGCUGUCUAACAUUAAAUAUAAACGUUGAUAAAAGAAACAUUUAUUUGUAAACGACGUGAAAAAGACAAUAUUAAGGAAGGAGAAAAACAGAUACAUAUUUUUACAGUUAACAUUAACUACGUCAACUUAAAUAGAAAAACAAUCUAAAACUGCAAUCACUAAGUGAAUUCCAAUUAAAAACAAAAAAGUAUUUAAGAAAAUAUCUUCAGACAGAGAAAACAAAUCGUGAGAUAUUUUUAAAAAUCGUAUUACAUCCAUUAAAUAAAUAUUCCCAAAGUAUUAUUCAAGAUACGACCUGUAAAGAAAAGUAAACAUAAGUACAUAUACAUACAUGAGAGUACAGACAGCAUAUGUAUUUAUUAUCAGAUAUGUAUGCAUGUAUGUAUAUGCAUUUAGACUAUUUGAAACGGUGAUAUUUCCAGUUGGGUUAUAUAUUCAGUCCAGUAUUAAUCUUAUACAAAUGGAAUCUUCAUAGUUAUGUGAAAUGAAUGGCAAGAUAUCCUGCUCGAGAGACAUGUCAUCUUUGUUUACAUGUGUGCUUGGUAUCUGAGCAUUAACAGAAAACUCAUCAAAGUCCCAUCCCAAACCCAAGAACGCAACAGCAAGAGCGACGGCAACUUAACAAAGCUAAACUUUUAACGAUGCGUUUAACAGGAAUGCUGGCGUCGCAGCCGGCAGAAGCAGUGACUGAGGCUAACGCUUAGGUUUAGGUAGCGGAGCAGGUGAAAUGCCAGCACAGACGCCGAUGCCUAAGCUGCUGUCGCUGUCGCUAUUACUGUCGGCGUCGUCACUCCAAAUUCUUUAGCCACAGAAAGAGGAAAAUGAAGUACUAAAAUUCAAAACUCCCAAAAAUACUGUAAAAACCAAAAUUGAAUCAAGUGCAAUCAGCAUUGACAACCACAGCGGCUGCAUACAAAAUAGAAAGAUAGCAAAGCAAAUGAAAAAAAUGUAUAGAUAAAAAUAACAUAACACAAGCUGUAAAAAGAAGGCAGCGCAAGUGCAUAUGUAAUGUGAUUGCAUGUGUAUGAGUGUGAGUGUGUGAAAAAGCCUCACGCUCAACGCUUUUUAUUAAUUCUGUUAAAUAUGCACACAUAAAAAGUAUUAAAAAAAAGAAACAAGAAUUUCAAACAAACAUCAAACGCGGGCUUAGGGGGGUCACAACACAGCAACAGCAACGACGCUGCCUACGUGCAGUCCACUUCCCAUUUCAUUUCCCCUUGCAGCAGCAUAAAACGGCACUCGGAUUGUUUGCCUGCGCCUCUGCUACCUGAAACUGAAAUUUUCCCGCAUUAGAAUGCUCGCGUUCCAACUUCUUGUUGUUGCUGUUGUUGUUGGUUCGUUAUGUUGCACGCGGUCAACGUCGACAGACAACCAGCGGGACAGGCGAAUACACGGAGAGAAGUAAAGAAACAACAAACACAAAAACAACAAAAACACGCUGGCAAAAGGGCAUGGAAUGGGAAUUGAAUUUAUUUUUCUUCCUUUUCGGCUGCUGCUUCUUGCACUAUACGCUGUCUGUGCCUGCCUUUGCCUCUGCCUCUGCCUCUGUGUAUGUGUGCGUGUGGUAUUAUUUUUUUGUUUACCUUAUGCUUUCGUUUAUCGACCCGUUUUUGGUUUUGUGUGUUUUUGUGUGCUACAUAUGCGUUUCUUUCGCUCUUUCGGUCUUUUAUUCGUUCGUUUGUUCGCUCGUUCGUUCGUUAACUCGCGUGCGCUGUUCUCAUCAGCUGAAGCAGAGACAGAAAGAAGGCAGCAGCAGCAACAUAAUCGCAGCUUGCAUGCCUGUGUAUCUUAUCUCUCUCUCUUUCGCCUCUCGCUGGCUGUCGUUUUUUUUUUUAAUGUAUUAAAAGGCACACAGAGGACUUUUGUUAGUUUGUUUAUGAAUAAUAACAUAUAUAUAAAUACUUAGUUAAUGUAUAAGAGUUCUGUUAUAUAUAUAUAGGGUCCGUGUUAAUAUUUCUUUUACAUUCCACAUUUCGAAUGUAAGCGCCGUAAGCUGACCAUCAGGCCGUAGCAAUCAGCUUUUGCUAGCUCACUCUGCCUGUCAUUUUCGAUUGUUUGGGAAAUUACACAGCUGAUACGUUUGUUAUUGUGAACGAGCGUAACAGCGUGCUAGUGAUGCG
rnacentral:sRNA from 1 species